rnacentral:piRNA from 2 species
UGGUUUUGAGAAGGAACCGGCCUCAU